rnacentral:rRNA from 1 species
UACGGAGGAUGCGAGCGUUAUCCGGAAUUACUGGGCGUAAAGGGUGCGUAGGUGGUUUCUUAAGUCAGAGGUGAAAGGCUACGGCUCAACCGUAGUAAGCCUUUGAAACUGGGAAACUUGAGUGCAGGAGAGGAGAGUGGAAUUCCUAGUGUAGCGGUGAAAUGCGUAGAUAUUAGGAGGAACACCAGUUGCGAAGGCGGCUCUCUGGACUGUAACUGACACUGAGGCACGAAAGCGUGGGGAGCAAACAGGAUUAGAUACCCCCGUAGUCCCUGAG